CGCUGGCGGCGUGCCUAACACAUGCAAGUCGAACGAGAUCCAUGGGAGCUUGCUCCCGGAAGAUCUAGUGGCGAACGGGUGAGUAACACGUGAGAAACCUGCCCUGGAGUGGGGAAUAACUCGGGGAAACUCGAGCUAAUGCCGCAUACCCUCGGAUGGUCGCAUGGCCGACCGAGGAAAGAUUUAUCGCUCUAGGAGGGUCUCGCGGCCUAUCAGCUAGUUGUGGGGUAACGGCCUACCAAGGCAACGACGGGUAGCUGGUUUGAGAGAACGAUCAGCCACACUGGGACUAAGACACGGCCCAGACUCCUACGGGAGGCAGCAGUGGGGAAUCUUGCGCAAUGGGCGAAAGCCUGACGCAGCAACGCCGCGUGCGGGAUGACGGCCUUCGUGGUUGUAAACCGCUUUCAGCAGGGACGAAAAUGACGGUACCUGCAGAAGAAGCCCCGGCUAACUACGUG
rnacentral:rRNA from 1 species